CAAAGUUACAGAGAAAAAAAACCUAUCUCAAAAAUAAACCAUUUCAUCUUUACUUUGGGGUAUUAAUAAGGUGGAUUUUAGUAUCCAAGAAAAGUUAUCAUUGUCACAUAAAAUAUUAUGCUGUCACUAUUUUCCAAAGUUCUAGAAUGUUUUUCUGUUUAAUGAAAAAGAUUAAGGGCAUAAGAACCAUGCUCUACUGUAGAAUGAACUCAGUUGUCAUCUUUACUGCUGCUAAGCCUGGGCUGUCAAUUUGAAAGGUGGAUAGAAGAAUUUUGUGACAGGAUUAAAAAAAUAAUGAUUGCACAUUUUAUCUCACAAAUGAGCCAGUGUUGCCAUUUCAAUGGAUACAUAUCUAAAAUCAGCAGAACGCAGUGUACGUGUGCCUGGACACCCUUCCUGACUAUGCUCCUCCUAUGCUUGUGGGCCCACGGCUCACUUCAGCAAUCAGUUCCUUGGCUCCUCAUCACCCUGGCAUUUCACGUGGUACCAGGCCCUUGCAAGAUUGUCAGCAUAUGUAGCAAGAAUGAAUAUUAUGUUGUAAUUACUCUACUUUGAGAAAAGUAUUCAUUCCAUUAUUCUUUCAAAUUAAUUUUAUCUAAUCAUGAAUAAAAAAGAGUUCUAAGUGUUGGUUAAAGAACUUCAUACAUGAGCACUCUACCUGUAUCAUUCCCACCCCUCCCAUACCCAUCCACCCAGAUUCAUGGUCUCUUCUUUAUUUAUUAUCAUUACAUGUAUAUACAUAUAUAGACACGUGCAUGUGUUCAUGUAACAUUGAUGAUAUGUACAUAUACCUAGUACUAACCACUUGGGAGUUGGAUAACCUAUGAUGGCCCCCAGAAAAAGACUAAUUAUCCCUCUCUCAGCAACCAUUGACUUCAUUUAGCUCUUUAUCCAGGGCCUAGAUCCGGGAAAUUUCCUUGUCCAUGUUGCUAUUUCAGUUGGCAUUGUCAUUAUGCUCUAAUUCAGGCAACUAUAUUAUUUCAUGGGUACAUUUUCCCCACCAUGCCUAGGGGACAUUAUCUCACUAUAGAUGUCCUGAGCCUGUGGCUCUUAGGAUCUUUCCACCACCUCUUCGAUGAUUUUCCCUGAGCCUUAUGUGUAGCAGUUGCUGUGCGGAUCUAUUAGCUGGGGUUAAACAUUCCAUGGUCCAUUUUUCCUUCUUGAGAGUUUUCUUAGGUAAACUUAGACAAAACAUAAUUUUGGGACUAAAGAAUAAUCAAUUAGCCAUUCAACCAAAAUUAUUAUAAUUGUAAUUUGGUACUUUUGCGUGAGGGCUAGGUUCUGAGACUGGCAGACAAACAAGCAUCCUGUAGAUGACAGUCUACCAACCCCUCCUCUGACUCAGGAGGGAUAGUCUUGCUACCCUUUCAUUAGAGCAAACAGAGCUUGAUUUGUGUAGUUCUGUUUUGGGUAAGGUAAGCUGAAGAGUAAUGUUGUUAACAUUCUACAGGAAAAGCUGUUAGAAUCUUUAAUCUAUGAAAACAGCAGUUUUAAUCAGACCACUAGCAGGUCCUCUGUGAAUUAGACUGCGAACACACUGUGGGGGAGCAACUGAGACUUUCAGCAAAGAGAAAGCACAGCAGAAAGUAUUGUCCUUCAAGGAGAAGGCAAACAGACCAUUUUCAAGGCCCUACUCACCCCCAGAGAGAAAAAGGCAUUGUUUUUCUGACUUGGAAACCACUCUUCAUGGGGUGUGUUGUUUUCACCAGACUCUCUGGUGAAAGUACCUGGCAGAGACCACUUAACCCCUCUGUCCUAGUUGCUUUUGAUAUCACAACAAAAUGUCUGACAGAAAUGGCAUGAAGGAAGAAGACUCAUUUUGGUCAUGUUAUGAUAAGGACAAGGGAGAACUUGGAGGGUUCCACGGCAGACAAGUGUGAUCAAAUAUGUGAACGCAUAUGCCAGGCAGACAGAACAUAAGUGAGAAGUUUUAUUAGAAAGGGAAGAGGGGAGGAAAGAGCAAAGAGA